rnacentral:rRNA from 1 species
ACGAACGCUGGCGGCGUGCUUAACACAUGCAAGUCGAACGGAAAGGCCCCUUUGGGGGUACUCGAGUGGCGAACGGGUGAGUAACACGUGAGUAACCUGCCCUUGACUUCGGGAUAACUUCAGGAGACUGGGGCUAAUACCGGAUAGGAAUCCUUGCUGCAUGGUGGGGGUUGGAAAGCUUCGGCGGUUUUGGAUGGACUCGCGGCUUAUCAGCUUGUUGGUGGGGUAGUGGCUUACCAAGGCUUUGACGGGUAGCCGGCCUGAGAGGGCGACCGGCCACAUUGGGACUGAGAUACGGCCCAGACUCCUACGGGAGGCAGCAGUGGGGAAUAUUGCACAAUGGGCGGAAGCCUGAUGCAGCAACGCCGCGUGCGGGAUGACGGCCUUCGGGUUGUAAACCGCUUUCAGCAGGGGCGAAGCUUGUGGUGACGGUACCUGCAGAAGAAGCACCGGCUAACUACGUG